rnacentral:rRNA from 1 species
GAUGAACGCUGGCGGCGUGCUUAACACAUGCAAGUCGAACGGAAAGGCUCCUGCUUGCAGGGGUACUCGAGUGGCGAACGGGUGAGUAACACGUGGGUGAUCUGCCCUGCACUUCGGGAUAAGCCUGGGAAACUGGGUCUAAUACCGGAUAGGACCAUCGUUUAGUGUCGGUGGUGGAAAGUGUUUUCGGUGUGGGAUGAGCUCGCGGCCUAUCAGCUUGUUGGUGGGGUAAUGGCCUACCAAGGCGUCGACGGGUAGCCGGCCUGAGAGGGUGUACGGCCACAUUGGGACUGAGAUACGGCCCAGACUCCUACGGGAGGCAGCAGUGGGGAAUAUUGCACAAUGGGCGCAAGCCUGAUGCAGCGACGCCGCGUGGGGGAUGACGGCCUUCGGGUUGUAAACUCCUUUCGCCAGGGACGAAGCGAAAGUGACGGUACCUGGAUAAGAAGCACCGGCUAACUACGUG